ensembl:lncRNA
GCCGUUGGACGCCGAAAGCCUUAGCCUCGGAGACGGGACGCGGAGCCGGAGCGGCGUGAGCCCUCUGUGAACACAGGGACCUCGGGUGGAGCCCAGCAGAGAGAGGGUGGGGUCUUGGGAGAGGCGGGGCGGGGGGCACAGACACCCCCGCCUCCCUUCCUGGCCCUGGCUGGGGGGCAGAUGGAAGAAACUGGGUGUACCUGACACUCUGCAGGGGGCAGAGUCUGGAGGACAGCCGGCAGGGCCGAGGGGCCGAGCCCUGAGCCGCAGCCGGCGCGGGGUGAGGCUCAGGUGUGGAGGCUGUGGGCAGGGCGGGGUCCUCCCUGAGCUGAGGCCCCGAACGCCGGGCAGAGGCAGGCAGCUGUGCCCCACGGCCCGUGGGCAGGGCGGGGUCAGAGCCCAUGGGGUGCCCGGCACAUCGGAGGACAGAAUGGGACCUCGCCAAACCUACGGGAGCACGGCAGCGGCUCGCUCAGAUCGGGCCUCCGCACUCUUCUGGAACACCGCUGGCUAGGGGUUGGGUUGCGUCUCUCCAAAAUGCCUCUCCAAAAACCCGAACGCCCGGCCCCUCAGAAGGUGACGGUAUUUGGAAAUGGGCUCUUUACAAAGGCGUUCAGGUUACAACGAGGUUCCCGGGGUGGCCCCAGAGCAAUGGUACCGGUGCCCUUCGAGGAGGAGGCCAUCAGGACACAGGCACGCACAGAGGGGUGGCCUCGUGAGGGCACGGGGAGAGGACGCAUCUACCCGCCCGGGGCAGAGGCCUCGAGAGCCACCGGCCCUGUGACAGCUGAUCUCACACUUCCAGCCCCAGAACUCCAAGGAGAUAAACGAGUGCCGUGGGAGCCGCCCGGUGCGCGCUGCUCUGUCCUGGUGGCCUGAGCUCGCCAUGCAGCGGCGGACAAGCCAGCGACAGGAAGGCACGGCUGGGUCUCUGCACACAGGCUUUUGUUCAAAUUGCUGGAAACGUCAUUUGGUCCUGAUCAGGGAGGUCGCCAGCGCGCAGAUGGCCAGCACUGCGCCCUCCACUUGCGAGUUGGUCCAGACUUCAGGGGUCCGUUUCUGUGGGGAUCUGCUGGAGGUGACGAUGCAGGAGGAGCUGGAGGCGGAGGCGCCAGACCCUUCCACGUGCCUCGGUUUACCAUCCAGCCAGAGGGUCAGGCUGGGUGGCUCCAGCCUGCGAGGAACGGAGCUGGCAGCCUGGGUGACAGACCGGGCAGCGGGCUGGGUGUGGACGCAGCUUGGCAGCGCUGGGCCGGCGGGCAGGACCCUGGAAGCCCGGGCCCCGGUCGGCCCCUCCCCCGCCCCCCUCCCCUGCCUGGUUAGCAUGGCAACAGCCUCCUCCCUGGUUCCGAGAGGGCCGCUGAGUCACGGGCCCAACUGGGAACAUGACAGGGUCCCCCUGCAGGACAGUGGCUCCGGUCCAGGAGGAAGGCUCAGUGGGAGGCAGGCUGCGUGGGGGAGGGGAGGCACCAGGCACCACCUCCGAGAGCUGCGGUUGGGACCGGGACGGGUCGGGCCUCAAAGUCUAGCCACAAACACAGCAGGCUUUUCAGCACCAGCUCAGCUGAGCACCACCUCUGGGGACCCCUUGGUCCCUGCCCUGCCCCUGGGUCUGUCUGCUUCCGCUCUUCCUGAAGGACACUUUGGCCAGAGCGAGGCUUGGCCUGCACGUGAGGCCAUGUGUUCCUCUGCCCCGGGCCCAGGGACGUGCUGAGAGCCUCCAGCUUCCUGCUCCCACGCGAGGGCCAGGCAAGGGCUGGGGCACCCACCCGAGCCCACCUGCCAGCUCUGAUCUGGCUCAGGGCUCCAGAGCCCCCCCCCAGGCCCCCACCCCUGGGGCCAGGCCCACCAGCACUGCCCAGAUCCAGGCCUCUGAGGGCCCAGCCCCACCCUGAGGGAGGUGGGAGGCACCGGAGUUGCUGUGGGAGGAUAGAGGGCAAAGGGCAUGUGGGGGGGCACACGAGAGUUGGGGUUGCCUCUGAAAGGCGGGUGGACGGGAGGACCCAAGACCAGAGCGUCGGGAGGAGCCUCAGAUCCAAGCUCCAGGGCCUGUGGCUGCUCAGCAGGGGCCCCCUUUGACACCCCCUCCCCCCGAAGAAGUUUGAGGCCUCUGACCGGGUCCCAGCCUGCAUCCUGUUCCCCUCACUCAGGGCAGUGGAGGCGACCCAUCCGCAGCCCUGCCCUGGACCACGCCCCCCCACGGGGCACAGCAGGUGACGCCACCUGAGACAGGGCCCCCCCGAGUGGCCGCUGCCCACCGGGACCCUCCCCCGCCCCCCCCAGACCAGCAGCACCCACACCUCACACACACACCCGGGGACGCGCACACCCCGGUCCCCAGGAAUAAUCCUGCCCAUCUCCACCUGGGGCGGACUUUAUUACCACGGUCAUCAUCAAGACGAUCACGUGAACACAGGAAGACAGCGCCGGUUUCCAGACUGUCGUGGCAGGCGGGUGCGUGCAAAGGAAACCUCCCGCCAAACGCUACGCACAAACAACUGUCCUCUGGGUCACCGGGAGCCGUCACCCCAGGGGCAGAGCAGCACGAGGCCGUGAGGAGGAGGCUGGACCAGCCUGCGAGGACCCCACCCGGCAGGCUCCCCUCGAACUGCACCUGCUCGCGCCUCUAAUACACGUUCCCACACAAUCAGGGCGUUAAAUAUAUAGAGAUUUCGUCGGAACUGCGUUGGUUAACAAAUAAACUCACCACCUCUCUUUACA